AAACUUUGAUAAAUUAAACGAUAAAGAAGGAAUGUUACUUUACAUACCCCAUGUGAAAAGCAAGCCAUGAAGGCGUCUGUAGUAGUGUGAUCACGGCACAAGCAAUAUCAAGCUACCGGAAUUUUCAUCGGCGGAAAAACAGAAAAGCUCCAGCAGAAGCUGCCUCGGGACCUCAAGUUGUGCUCUUUACCCCUCCGACCCGUUUGACCCGACUUCCAAUAUCCCCAAACGUAGAUUGCACCUUUGUGAGGUAUUAAAGGAGAAGAGGAAAUUGAGAAAUGGAAAAAUAUCUCAUUCAACUGAAAAUGUUCUGUACAAUCACGUUAAAUAGGAAGAAGAAAAAUGGCGGGAAGGUAGUUUAUAACGUCCAGCUAAUCAAACUAAUCAAAAAUAUUUGGCGCCAAACUGACUUCAAUUAUUCUGAUACUCCCCCUCAAGAUGGAUUAUGUAAAUUGACAACAGCCAUCUUGGAUAGUAGGUGAGACAAUGAAGUUGCUAGUAAAGGUUUGGUAAGUAUAUCAGCAAGUUGGUGGUUGCUUCGAACUGGUAGCAGCUUGAUGAAACCAUCAGUGAUUUUAUCCCUUACAAAGUGGCAAUCUAUCUCUAUAUGCUUCGUUCUCUCAUGGAAGAUAGGAUUGGUGGCAAUGUGGACCGCAGCUUGGUUGUCACAAAAAGUCAAAGCUGGACCUGUAGAUGUAAUCUGGAAAUAAAGAAGCAACUGUUGUAUCCAUACAAGUUCACUGGUAGUAGAAGAUAAGGCACAAUAUUCAGCUUCAGCUGAUGAUAUUGAUAUUAUGCUUUACUUUUUAGCCGUCCACGAAACCAUAGAAUCUCCAAGAAACACACAAAACCCAGUAAUAGAUUUUCUGGAAUCUGGACAUGAGCCCCAAUCGGCAUCAGCAUAAGCCCGUAAUUGUAAGGAUGAGUCAGCAGAAAAUAAGAGACCCUGGCCUGGGGUUGCCUUGAUGUAUUGAAGUAGAUGAUGGAUGGCUGUUAAAUGAGGUUUCCGCGGCUAAGACACAAACUGACUGAGCUUAUGAAUUGCAAAAGUAAUGUCUGGUCUGGAGACUGUUAGAUAAAGUAAUCGUCCAACAAGCCUCCUAUACAUAGAACUAUCUUCCAACAACUCCCCCUCAAAGGAGCUCAAUCGAACUUUAGGAUCCAUAGGCAUGGCUGCAUGCUUACAAGCUAGAAACCUUGUGUCUUCAAGCAACUGGAGAACAUAUUGUCUCUGUGAUAAAACAAUGCCGUUAUGUGAUCUCGCAAUUUCCAAGCCAAGGAAGUAUUUAAGGUUACCAAGGUCCUUAAGCUUAAAAUGACUGUGAAGAAAUGAUUUCAAAGAUUCUAUAACUUGGAGAUUGGACCCGGUGAUGACUAUGUCAUCAACAUACACAAGUAAAGCAACAAAUUCAUUACCAGAACCUUUUGUAAAUAAGGAAUAAUCUGAUUUAGACCGGUGAAAUCCAUGUAAGAUAAGAGCAUGAGAAAAUUUUGCAAACCAUUGUCUCGAGGCCUGUUUUAGGCCAUAUAUAGACUUAUGUAACUUGCAAACCUAAUGCUCCCCUGCUUGCCUGAUGUGGAGGGGGGUUUAUAUCCCAUUGGCAAUUCCAUAUAAAUUUCCUCGAAUAAAUCACCAUGAAGGAAGGCGUUAUUGACAUCCAAUUGGAUGAUAUGCCAACUAUUAAUUGCUGCUAUGGCCAGGAGUAAUUUCACAGUCACCAACUUAGCCACUGGGGAGAAGGUUUCAAUGAAGUCCAGCCCUCCUGUUGAGUGUACCCUUUGGCCACUAAGCGCGCUUUGUAUCGAUCAAUACUCCCAUCUGACUUAUACUUUAUUUUAUACACCCAUUUGCAGCCAAUGGCAUGAUUUUCUUUGGGCAAAGUAGUGACACACCAGGUGUUAUUCAGCUCCAUAGCAGCUAGCUCAGAGGCCAUAGCUUCCUGCCAAUGGUCAUGUCUCACAGCUUGGUGGUAAAAUUGAGGCUCGAAGUUUGAGGAGAUAUUAAAGAGAAAAUUAUUAUGAGAUUUAGAAAAUUUUGUGUAGCCAAGGCAGUCACUUAAAGGAUACUGGGAUGAGGUCUGAGGAAUGGGAGAAUUAGCCAAAAGACUACAGUGAAAUUCCUGGAAAUAUAUGCUGGAGGUUUGCUAUGCCUAAGGGACCUUCUGAGAUUGGGAUUGGGAUGGACUGGAGUGGCUUGUGGUUCUGUGAUGGGUUCUGAUGUUGAAGGUGAAUCAGGAGAAGACAUGGUAGGAACAUCAUUAUCAACCGAAUCAUGAUUAGGAAUGUUGACAGCAUGAUGCAUAGGUAUAUCAAGUGCAGGCUUAGGUAACACAAGGUUAGGAAAAUUAUCAAUGAUUUCAUGAGUUUUUGAGAUAGGAUGAAAGGGAAAAAUGCUUUCAUGAAAUACUACAUCUCUGGCUAUAAAAAUGGAUUUUGAUACAAUGUCAUAUAACUUGUAUCCUUUUAUGCCAGGGUGGUAUCCAAUGAAAACACAUGCCUUGCGAUGAGAAGUGAGGGUUGAUGCAAAACACAAACAACCAAAGACCUUGAGAAAAGCAUAAUCCACUGGAGUUUUGUAACGUAAUGAAAAUGGUGACUGAUUUUGUAGAACAGGAGAUGGGGUACGAUUAAUGAGGUAGGUCGCUGUGAGAACACAAUCUCCCCAAAAUUGAAUUGAAUAGGGACUUGGGAUUGGAAGAAUAGGGCUCGAGCAACAUUAAGUAAAUGUUGGUGCUUCCUUUCAACAACAGAAUUUUGCUCAGGUCGUUCUAUGCAAGAGAAUUGAUGUAGAACACCUUUGGAGCUAAAAAAAUCUGUGAAUUGCAACUCGGGGGCAUUGUCAGACCUGAAGGCUUUAAUGACCUUAUUAAAUUGUGUCUCAACCAGACAAAAAAACUUAGGAAUGAUUGCAAGAACAUCUGAUUUUUGCUUCAUGAGAUAGACCCAAGUGAACCUUGUACAAUCAUCAACUAAAGUGAGAAAGUAUCUGUGACCAUCACGUGUUGUUGAACUCUAUGGACCCCAAGUGUCAGCAUGAACAAGAUCAAAUGCAUUGGGAGAUAAGUGAUUGUUUGAAACAAACGAUAAACGCCUUUGUUUAGUAAGAGGGCAGAUAGAACAAGGGACAUCUUCAUUACCCUUAUUACAUUUAAAAUGUAAUUGUUCCUUCAAACCAGCUAGUCUUUUAAAAGACAAGUGACCAAGUCUAUUAUGCCAAGUAUAUGAAUCCACAUUAUUCAUUACAACAGAAUCAGAAUUACAGAUAUGUUUGACACUAUUACAUCCAUAUUUCAUUGUGCUAUCCAGGAUGUAAAGUCCACUAACCCGUCUACCCUUGCCAAUCAUCCUCAAGCUGCAUAGAUCCUGAAUAUCACAGCCAUCGGUAAGAAACUUGAUGCUUAUAGAAGACCUUUUGGUCAGUGCACUAAUGGACAGCAAAUUGAACUUGAACUGGGGCACAUAUAACACAUCUUCCAGCACCAAGUAAAGAGUAAGUUUAAUAUGUCCAACAAAAUUCACACGAAUCAUGGCAUGGUUAGGCAAUGUAAUACAUGCAUCUUGCAUAGCCUUUAAUGUGUGAAAGCAUGCACGGUUGAAGCAUACAUGACUAGUUGCCCCUGAAUCCAACACCCAAUGCCUAGGAGAAUUAAGGACUUGAUUAAUGGAAACAGAUAAAACUGUACCUGACACAUGAUCAACAUUAGCUACUUCAUCAUCCAUCUUAGAAGUUGUGAGGUGUGUGCUCAACAUACUCAUCAACUGUUGGCACUGAUCAUGGUUCAAGGUUUGCAUAAAAUUCCCAGUAUUGCCCUGAGAUUGGUCUGAAACAGAACCAUAAAUUUGAUUGACAACAUUAUUAUUUGAGUGGGGAUUAAAACCUGUGUAAUUGUGUGAACCAGGUUUCUGCUUUGGCUUGUAUCCAGGUGGAUAUCCAUGGAGUUUAUAACAUCUAUCAAUCACAUUUCCUUCAUAUCCACAAUAUGUACAAGUUGGUCUCUCCUUUUGAUUCCUGCCAUGAGAUGGCUGCCCCAUACCUGUCCUCUUCACUUCAUUUCUAGCAUAAAAGGCUAAGGAACCAGCAGAUCCAACAUUCAGGUUAAUAGCUCUCUGAUGUUCUUCCUGUGAAAUGAGUGAAAACACCCUAUUUAUCGAUGGAAUUGGAUCCAUGAGCAGCAACUGCCCCCUGACCUGUGCAUAAGAGUCUUUCAAUCCCAUUAGGAAUGACAUGACAUACUCCAUGUGAUAAUGAUCUACCAACCUUUUGUUGCCACAACAUUCGCAUUUUCCACAGGUACAUGACGGCUUGUAAUUGCUUAAUUCUUCCCAAAUUGAUUUCAAUUUGGUAAAAUAAGCACUAACGGAUGAUUGUCCUUGUGUCAAAUUCAUCAAUUCACGCCUUAAUUGGAAGAUUCGAGGACCAUUCCUCUGCUAAAAUCUCUCCUUGAGAUCUCUCCAAAUCUCAUGAGCAGAUUCCUAAUAGAUGAUGCUAGCUGAAAUUUCCUUUGUUACGGAAUUAAGAAUCAAAGAGAUGACGAUGUUGUUGUUGCGGAUCCAGGCAUUAAGCAACUCAGUGUUGCCUUCAAGUCGAGUAAUCGAUCCAUCAACAAAAUCGAAUUUAUUUUUCACCUUUAAUGCUAUGGUCAAGGCUCGAUUCCAGGCAGCAUAAUUUUCACUAGUUAGUUGCUGUGAAACUAGAACUAUACCAGGACUGUCUGAAUGAUGAAGGUAAUACGGACUGGAGACAUCAUCAAUGGAAGAAUGAUUCAUUGAUGAAGAUGAAGCCAAAAUGGAUGAUAAAGCUAGAUCUCCCUUUUUUGCCAUGGCGGAUCAAAUUGAGCAAAUUGCGAAGCUAAGGAAGCCUCUACUUUGAUACCAUAUUAAAGGAGAAGAGGAAAUUGAGAAAUGGAAAAAUAUCUCAUUCAACUGAAAAUGUUCUGUACAAUCACGUUAAAUAGGGAGAAGAAAAAUGGCGGGAAGGUAGUUUAUAACAGCCAGCUAAUUGAUAGCUAAGCAAACUAAUCAGAAAUAUUUGGCGCCAAACUGACUUCAAUUAUUCUGAUAUGAGGACUUUUCCCGCCGUGAAUCCCUAAAUAUUUCGUCGAUCUCCAUAUUUCUUUAUUACUUAUUAUCAAUUCCACACAUCCAAGAAGAAAUCACAAAACCAAUGUAGGAAAUGGAUAAUUAAGUACGAUUGAAAUCAAUAUGGGGAAUGAAAAAUGAGAAAUUAGUAAAGCUGUUACUUGCGGAAGAAUUGAGCCCACGAACAGUUAAAUCGAGAUGGGUAUUGGACAGAUAGUUGGAAAACUGAGUUCUUUAUAGCAUUCAUUACUUCAAUUUUGCGAUUUCCAUCUAUUAAUUACCUUGAGAGAAAGCGAUAGCGGUGUUUGUUGUGGGGUGUAUGACGGAGAAGACUGUUGUAAAGCUUUGGUUGCACAGCUAUUGUUCAGAGGUAGUGGUAGCGUCGGUGUUGGGUAGACUCAAAGGUAAGGAUUUGUUUUCCUUUCGUUUGCACUAAAGAAAAAAGAAAAAUAGAG
rnacentral:lncRNA from 1 species